rnacentral:rRNA from 1 species
AAUAGAUACCCUGGUAGUCCACGCCGUAAACGAUGGAUGCUAGCUAUUGGGGGGAAUCGACCCCCUCCGAAGCGAAGCUAACGCGUUAAGCAUCCCGCCUGAGUAGUACGAGCGCAAGCUUAAAACUCAAAGGAAUUGACGGGGACCCGCACAAGCGGUGGAGCGUGUGGUUUAAUUCGAUGGUAAACGAAGAACCUUACCAAGGUUUGACAUCCCGGUAGCCGUUCUCCGAAAGGAGAAUUUCAUUUAGUUGGACCGGUGACAGGUGAUGCAUGGCCGUCGUCAGCUCGUGUCGUGAGAUGUUGGGUUAAGUCCCGCAACGAGCGCAACCCUUAUGAUUUAGUUGGAUUUUUCUAAACAGACUGCCCUGGUAACAGGGAGGAAGGAGGGGAUGAUGUCAGGUCAGUAUUUCCCUUACACCUUGGGCGACACACGCGCUACAAUGGCCGGUACAAUGGGCAGCUAAGCCGCGAGGUGGAGCAAAUCCCAUCAAAGCCGGUCCCAGUUCGGAUUGCAGGCUGAAACCCGCCUGCAUGAAGCCGGAAUCGCUAGUAA